UACGGAGGGUGCGAGCGUUGUCCGGAAUCACUGGGCGUAAAGGGCGCGUAGGCGGCCUGAUAAGUAGGGGGUGAAAUCCUGCGGCUUAACCGCAGGGCUGCCUUCUAAACUGUCAGGCUGGAGCACAGUAGAGGCAGGUGGAAUUCCCGGUGUAGCGGUGGAAUGCGUAGAGAUCGGGAAGAACAUCAGUGGCGAAGGCGGCCUGCUGGGCUGUUGCUGACGCUGAGGCGCGACAGCGUGGGGAGCAACAGG
rnacentral:rRNA from 1 species